rnacentral:rRNA from 1 species
AAUGAACGCUGGCGGCGUGCCUAACACAUGCAAGUCGAGCGAGAAAGUCUCUUCGGAGAUAAGUACAGCGGCGGACGGGUGAGUAACGCGUGAGAAUUUACCCUUUAGUGAAGAAUACCUCUGAGAAAUCAGGGUUAAUACUGCAUACGUCCCUACGGGGAGAAAGGUGGCCUCUUUGCUGCCGCUAAAGGAUAAGCUUGCGUACUAUUAGCUAGUUGGUGAGGUAAAGGCUCACCAAGGCGAUGAUGGUUAGCCGGCCUGAGAGGGUGUACGGCCACACUGGAACUUAGACACGGUCCAGACUCCUACGGGAGGCAGCAGUGAGGAAUAUUGCGCAAUGGGCGAAAGCCUGACGCAGCGACGCCGCGUGGAGGAUGAAGGUCUUCGGAUUGUAAACUCCUGUUAAGUGGGAAGAAGACCUAUUCUAAUACAGAUAGGGGAUGACGGUACCAUUAGAGAAAGCACCGGCUAACUUCGUGCCAGCAGCCGCGGUAA